GUGAACAUAUGUAACCUGCUACUGACAUGCUGUCAGCCAUUUUGCUGUUUAUUCAUCAUCUUAAAAUAUAAUCAAAGAAGAAUAUUUACUCUAAGAAAUAAGAAGAAACUAUGUUUUAUUGCUACAUUUUAUUAAUGGAUGUCUGGACAGUUUUUUGGAUUGCAAAAGGAAAAGUUAUUUUGAAAGCGUGUCUUGUCAGAUGUUGCCAGGGGGGGAAAGGUGAAAUGUGUGCUAAAGUUGUGAAAGAGGAAGUCAGGUUUAUAUGUGUUAACUCUUAUCAUAGACAAGCGAUAUUUUAGCGAAGUAAGACGCAUGACUGUGGUCAAGUUAUCUGUUAGAAAGAUCAUGGGAUGCUUAAACUUUUGAACCUUAAAUUUGUCAGUUAUGCUAGAAUUUAGCCAAUAGGAAAUAAGACCAUAUUUGGAGUUCUGAUUCAAGCUAAACGAAAGGCCAGUUCCGGGUCAUAUGUAUAAAAUAUGAGGAAUUGUAACAUGAUGUUAGAUUGCUUCUUGCCAAUCUCCAUGAGAUAUCUCUGUGUAUUGUAAUGGUCAAUUAAACGCUUUUUAUUGAACCUGGUAAUAUUUUUGUCUACUUCCACAGUUGGGGGCUCGUCCGGGAUCAGAAUACCACAGACACCAGCGGAACACCUGC
rnacentral:lncRNA from 1 species